AAUUCGCCCUUAGAGUUUGAUCCUGGCUCAGAUUGAACGCUGGCGGCAGGCUUAACACAUGCAAGUCGAGCGGAGAUGAGGUGCUUGCACCUUAUCUUAGCGGCGGACGGGUGAGUAAUACUUAGGAAUCUGGCUAUUAGUGGGGGACAACAUUUCGGAAGGGAUGCUAAUACCGCAUACGUCCUACGGGAGAAAGCAGGGGAUCUUCGGACCUUGCGCUAAUAGAUGAGCCUAAGUCGGAUUAGCUAGUUGGUGGGGUAAAGGCCUACCAAGGCGACGAUCUGUAGCGGGUCUGAGAGGAUGAUCCGCCACACUGGGACUGAGACACGGCCCAGACUCCUACGGGAGGCAGCAGUGGGGAAUAUUGGACAAUGGGGGGAACCCUGAUCCAGCCAUGCCGCGUGUGUGAAGAAGGCCUUAUGGUUGUAAAGCACUUUAAGCGAGGAGGAGGGUACUGGUAUUAAUACUACCAGCUACUGGACGUA
rnacentral:rRNA from 1 species